UAAUCAUUUUCUAUUUAUUUCAGGUUCUUCAUAACAUUGCUAUUGCAGAAUACUUUCACUGGAAUAUGCUACGAAACCUUGCUGGCAUCUAUUAUGAACAAAGUCAACUUGACAUGGUAAUUCUGCAUUACAAGCAAGCUAUCAACUGUGAUUCUACCUUUAUUGAAGCUUACAAUAAUCUGGGGAAUGCUCUCAAAGACGCUGGACAUGUGGAAGAGGCUAUCAACUUCUAUAGGGUGACUUUUUAAUUUGGAUAUUUUUAUUCUCUUAAGUUUUUUUUCCUUGUUGAAUAACUUCAUUUUAAUAAUUUUUCCCAAGUCAUGCCUUGCUUUACAACCUAACCAUCCACAAGCAUUGUCAAGCCU